rnacentral:rRNA from 1 species
UCCUGGUGGCGAGUGGCGAACGGGUUAAAAAUACAUCCUAACGUGUCCUGGAGUGGGGGAUAGCCCGGCUAAAGCCGGAUUAAUACCGCAUACGCUCUGAGGAGAAAAGCGGGGGAUCUUUCGGGACCUCGCGCUCAAGGGGCGGCCGAUGGCAGAUUAGGUAGUUGGUGAGGUAAAGGCUCACCAAGCCUUCGAUCUGUAGCUGGUCUGAGAGGACGACCAGCCACACUGGGACUGAGACACGGCCCAGACUCCUACGGGAGGCAGCAGUGGGGAAUUUUGGACAAUGGGCGAAAGCCUGAUCCAACCAUGCCGCGUGCAGGAUGAAGGCCUUCGGGUUGUAAACUGCUUUUGUACGGAACGAAAAGGUCUUUUCUAAUAAAGAAGGCUCAUGACGGUACCGUAAGAAUAAGCACCGGCUAACUACGUGCCAUCAGCCGCGGUAAUACGUAGGGUGCGAGCGUUAAUCGGAAUUACUGGG